rnacentral:rRNA from 1 species
CGAAGAUACCAGCUGGCUGCAACUGUUUAUUAAAAACACAGCACUGUGCAAACACGAAAGUGGACGUAUACGGUGUGACGCCUGCCCGGUGCUGGAAGGUUAAUUGAUGGGGUUAGCGUAAGCGAAGCUCCUGAUCGAAGCCCCAGUAAACGGCGGCCGUAACUAUAACGGUCCUAAGGUAGCGAAAUUCCUUGUCGGGUAAGUUCCGACCUGCACGAAUGGCGUAAUGAUGGCCAGGCUGUCUCCACCCGAGACUCAGUGAAAUUGAACUCGCUGUGAAGAUGCAGUGUACCCGCGGCAAGACGGAAAGACCCCGUGAACCUUUACUAUAGCUUGACACUGAACAUUGAGCCUUGAUGUGUAGGAUAGGUGGGAGGCUUUGAAGUGUGGACGCCAGUCUGCAUGGAGCCAACCUUGAAAUACCACCCUUUAACGUUUGAUGUUCUAACCUAGGCCCAUAAACUGGGUCGGGGACCGUGUCUGGUGGGUAGUUUGACUGGGGCGGUCUCCUCCUAAAGAGUAACGGAGGAGCACGAAGGUUGGCUAAGCAUGGUCGGACAUCAUGCGGUUAGUGCAAAGGCAUAAGCCAGCUUGACUGCGAGAGUGACGGCUCGAGCAGGUACGAAAGUAGGUCUUAGUGAUCCGGUGGUUCUGAAUGGAAGGGCCAUCGCUCAACGGAUAAAAGGUACUCCGGGGAUAACAGGCUGAUACCGCCCAAGAGUUCAUAUCGACGGCGGUGUUUGGCACCUCGAUGUCGGCUCAUCACAUCCUGGGGCUGAAGUAGGUCCCAAGGGUAUGGCUGUUCGCCAUUUAAAGUGGUACGCGAGCUGGGUUUAGAACGUCGUGAGACAGUUCGGUCCCUAUCUGCCGUGGGCGUUGGAAGAUUGAGAGGGGUUGCUCCUAGUACGAGAGGACCGGAGUGAACGCACCACUGGUGUUCGGGUUGUCAUGCCAAUGGCAUUGCCCGGUAGCUAAGUGCGGAAGAGAUAACCGCUGAAAGCAUCUAAGCGGGAAACUUGCCUCGAGAUGAGUCUUCCCUGUCGCUUUAAGCGACCUAAAGGAACGUUUAAGACUAAGACGUUGAUAGGCUGGGUGUGUAAGCGUAGCGAUACGUUGAGCUAACCAGUACUAAUGAACCGUGAG